CAUUUAAAGAAAAAGGCAAUGAAAUGCUGCUGAAAUGACAUUUUUGACAAAGUGCCAUUUUUCAGCAUGACCUCUUGGACCCACUUACACCAGUGCUGCUAACUAGUUCUGCAUUCAUCAAAGCCUGCAGGAGCAGGGGGCAGAGCAGUGUGUGCUGAUGAGCACAAGUGCCUUGGAUUUUCAGCACAUGCCUUGGAUUUUGUUCCACCAGCAACUUCCUGGUCUAAGUCCCAGAGCAGUUUUUGCUGGAGAUGUUCAGGCUGGGCUAUUGGUGUCUGUGACAUCAAGGCCACAGAAGAAAAAGAGGUGGCUCAAAGACUCUUCUUGGUCAUUAAGAACCUUCUCUUGUGGAUGUGAUUAACUCCUGGGGUUGCUGGUUCCUGACAGGCUUGUGCCCAUACAGCUCUGGAAGGGAACAUGGCUUGCAGAAGACAGUGAGCUUUCCAUCUCCAAGGUGUUGGUCCCAGUGGACAACCUCAGAUUGCUGUGGGCUGUUAUUACCUACCCAGAAAUAGCUGCUGUGUUCCACCUUGGAGGAGACUGCAUGCCACAGAAGUGCCAGGAACCCAACCCGCCCAACUUUAUUGCUGCAACCAGAUCCUGGCUCGAGGGAUGUUACGGCAACCAGCCUGGGCCGUGGGGGCCAGAAGAACAAAUACCUCCCUAACAGGCAUGACUUCAGCCAGCACAUGCCCCACUGCCCGGAUAGCUCCUCUGACAGAGGAAGCCCCUGUGAGGAUUUACAAGUCCCAACCACUUCCUGAAAUCACCACUCCUGCUUGUUAUCUCACCCUCCCAUCACCUGCAGGGUCCGGAUACUGUUUGAAGGGAAAGGAGAGCCCUGAGAAGGAAGAGGAGGAGGUGUGUGAGUCCUGCUGAUCUGCCCAUUAGGCUGGGGGGUGGCAAUGGACCCCAACGAUGAAAUAUCUGAGCACUCUGGCUCAGUCUUUUUAUUACCUGCAAUGGAAAAUGAGUGCCAGCUGCAAAUCAGGGAUUUCAACAGCCUCUCUGAAGGCAUGUCAAGCAUUUUAUGGCUGGAAAUACAUUUAGGGUUUAUUAUGGGCUGCCCACUGAUCUUUCCUGCAUGCAUGGAGUGGCUGGACCCUGUUCCCACCCUGCCUUUGGAUGGGAAGGGGUCCCCACAAAUUGAUCGGUUUUCGGAUGGCAAAUUGAUUGGUUCCAUUUGCUGCUUCUCUACUUUCUUUAUCCUGAGCAAGGAUUUAACCUCACAUUGAGACAGGCUGGAAGUUGAUUUGGAGGACAGCCUCAGCCUGCAGUGGGAUGCAGCAUAUGUUGCAGACCUGUCAAAUGUCACACAGAGCAGCACUUGCCCCAUGGGUCCCUCCACAGAAGAAACAGGCUCUCCCCUUCCCAGCACUGUGCCAUCACUUCCUCAAACUUCAGCACUCAACAUUUGUAAACUCCACACCUUCAUGGAGGAGCACCCCAAUCAUCCAGUCCCAUGCUGUGUUCUUGGAAAAGUGAGCCAACUAAUGGGAACUGGACCACUUGGAAGUGGGAAACUGGCAAGAUAGGAUGUAGCAACACAGCUUUGCAAACUCUACAGGAGCUCUACAGGAGCCAUGGCACAGCCUGAGCUGUUGGAGAAACCAUCUCUUGGCUUCACUUCUAGACAUGCUGCAGACAUGCCUUCAUUGCACCGUGCACACCUCAACCAUCCAAAUCCCUCUGUUAGACCAAGUGCUUUAUAGCUGCUUUCAAUUUCUUAUUGACUGGACUCUGCUCUUCUCGUUACACAAAUAUCACAUUUUGAAACUUCCUCUACCAAAAACAUGAACAGGAAUUUCCCUAUAGUGUCCUGGUUUUAAGAAUUUGGAUCUUGAAGGCCUGCAGAGUCAUCACCACUGGUGAUAAAACAGGAGAGGAGGGAUAAAAAAGGGAUGCAUGUGGGGGAAGGACAAAGAACAUGGGAAGGAAACAGGGAGGGACUCUGGAGUAAAUCUGAGGAGCUGUGGGCAAGGUCAAGCUCUGCUAUCUUGUCCCCUCUGAGAGAACAGGGUUGCAAGGUCUCCAGCAGAAGAACCACAGUCCAAAAGAAAGCUGGGAAACAUGGGGCUGUAAAUCAGCUCCUGCCCAGUGCUGUGACAGCUCUUUUGGCCUGAGCCAUGGCUGACAUCUUGCCCGAAGCCAUGGCAACCAUUCUGGCCUGUGCCAUGGCUGUCACCUUGGCUAACCCACCCCAACUGGCCACUGAGUCUACAAACACACCCCCUUACCAUUCCGUGUCUGAAUUCACUGUAGGAAUGGGGAGUCCUUCAUUAAACUCACGGUGUCCAUGGCCUUGUCAAUAAGGAAGGGCCGCAGCACCCCUUGGUGCCUUGGCUCUGGGUGCUGCUUUCUCAGCAGCCAUUCUCUCUGGACAUGAGGAGCAACACUGCGGGGUCCAGCCGGGGAUCCCAGUGAGGAUGCCCAUCCCCUUGUUUACUCCUGCUACCAUCUGCUGGAAGGAAUCAGCCUGUGCACUUGCCUGCCGCAUGGAAACUGUUGGGAGCCAUACCGGGAGAGCACAAGGACGAGAGCAGCACUGGGGUGAGUCUGCUCAUGGACACAACACGGAUGAGGGUCCUGCUGGGGGGAAUCUCUCUGCUCUCUGCCUUCCCACCCUGUGUUCAGAGGGACCAGGACACCCAUGUAUCUCUCCUAGGGCUGUUUAAAGACAGGAAUUUUGGAGGCUUCCUUGGCUCUGCUCCAGAGCCUGGCACAAGGCAUUGGUUUGGUCUGAACCUCAGUUUCCCUGUUGCUACUUAAAACACUAACCUUUGGUGUGGCUCAGCCCCCACCAUUUGACUUACUGUGAGUGUAAACAUUGUCCCUUCCUAGAUAGGGGCCAUCACUUUCACCAUGUUCCCAUCCCUGCUGCUUCCCACCAUUCCCAAAACAAUUCCCAUUGAGCAGCGCUGCCCUGCCAUAGAAACACAACCACACCUUGAAUGAGGCAUGAGGGCUGCUCAUCUGUGACCAUCUGGGGAAAAAAAACAGUGCUGAAAGCCAAAAUAUCUGCUCAACACACUCUCCUGUGCAAGCUGGGCCUGGGACCAAAGACAGUCAGUACCAGGCUGGAAGCUUCUGUAUUUUUGUUAUGGGUUGUUGAACAAACCACACAGUUUUACCCCACAGGGUAUCAUAAAUAAGCAAUGAAAAAGCAGAGAAGUGAAAAGGAAAAGUAUUUGCCUGCAAAAAUAUGUUACUAAGCAAAUGAGUCAGAAGGAUGUGGACUGAACUGUGCAGGGCCUGCUAUGUCUAAAAGCAAAGCUUUUAUAAGGUAGGGAAAGUGAUUUAAGAGUCUGCAGGUAAACAUGGGCUGCCACGUAUUGUUCUGGGGAAAAGUGGCAGAAUAAAUAUGCAAAUCCUUCUUAUGUGACAGCCAGAAUGGUGGAAAUGAUUAUGAAAUAGAUCUGAAGAAGCCUGAUUAAUAAUUUAUCCUCAAAUGGAAGUUGAUUCUUGGCUGAACAGCAAGGAUAAUAAGGCUGAGGAAUCAAUAAGAGCAUUUACAACUCUGUAAAAUGCGUUUACAAGUACAAAAAGAUGGGUUGCUUUGUGGCCAUGCCUUGCAUGAGCUAGGAGAGAGGGAAGGGAGAGCACACAACAGUGACUGUGCAGCGCCGGCCACACAGACAAAUCUGGAGAGGGAGCUGAGCAUUGUCUCUGGAUGUUACUGCUACCUGAAUGAUUCUCCACCAUUAACACAUGUCCUGACAGCCCAUGGAGGACACAUUAAUUAAGCUCAGUCACUUAAGAAGGUUUGCAUAAUUAAUGCAGUGUUGACAGAGCAGUUCAGUGGUAUCUUCAGCCAGAAUGUGGCUGUCCUCAGGGAUGCAGUGUGGAAGUGACUGCCCGGACACCAUGCCCUUGGGUGGCCUGUGCACAUCUGGCCUAGCUAAUCCCCCUCUUCACCACACCUUAUCACAGCACACAUUGGUAGGCAACUCACCCUCUCAGAGAAACAAGUGAUCAUCAGCAGCCUCCUUUGAUGUAAACUCUUAAAACUUUGUGCCUCAGAUUUCUAAAAAUAUCCUUGUUGAGAUCCACUGGGCAACUGGAGGUUCAUUGCUUGCCCACCCCACCUUCCUUGGGCAGUUGAGGAAUGGGUGCCUUAAGAGCAGCCCAGCUCUGUGAUGUGACAAAACUGGAGGCAUUUUUACAUGGCCUGAUUCAGAGCUGUGAGCAGGCACCUCUGCCUUGAGGCAGAUGAGAAGGAUGGGGUCUCUCAGCUUGGCUUGAGACUCUGUCACCCUGGAAGGGACAUGAACCCAUGACAUGUAAUUGUCACAGACAUCUCCCAGUCUGUGGUCCAUGGGUUCUCAAAAUGUCCCUGAAAAAUGAGAAAGAAAAGCCAGUGGGGCUGCGAAUGACCAAAAUCCACACUGCCCCUGGCAAGUUUUUCUUUGUGCUGUCUUCUGUAAUGAGAGCAGUGACAUUUUGGGGUAGCAGAGGGAGGUGGGAAGGCAGCUCCCACUGGGGAUGUGCCUGAUACUGAGACCCUCCCCGCCUUGGGCAGAGAGUACAGAUAAUGGAUUUGCACAGAUUUCCUCUUAGUGCUGCUCCUCCCCGAGGGCCUUUGGCAGAGCGUCUCCAGCGCCCGGCUGGCACGGUCUGUCCCAGCCGAAUGUUCCACAGCACAACACCAAGGGAGAAAUGUAGGGACCCUGACAGACAGCCUUGCAAGACAGCUCUCCCCAAACCCUCCCAACAGAUGGGUGUCCAACCUGCUGGUAAACACUGCCAGUGAAAGAGGCUCCAUCCCUUCCUGACAGCUUGUUCCAGGGUUUGUGAGUGUUCAGAGCUGGAGGAGUUUCCUAACGUCAGACCUAAAUCAUGCUUGCUGAAAAUGGAGUCUUGCCCUCCUUAUCUUGUCCCCAUGCUGAAUAUGAGAACAAUUCAUCCUUAUCCAUGCAUAAAAACCUCAUAUACAGAAAUACAUUUUACUUGCUGCCUUCUGGACCUUUUGUUUUCCAGACAAAACAAGCCCAGUUCCUUCAGUUUUCCUUCCAAGGGCAUCAGCAGGACCUCAUGGAAAUGGAGAAGAACUGCAAGGAUGAUCUGAGGAUUGAUACUGCCAAGUGUGAGCUGAGACCCUUCAGCUGGUGAAAGACUAGAGGAAGGACAGCUGAUAGAGAUGAAUGUUAUUGAACAGGUAAAUAAGGAAUGACUGUCCACUGUUUCUUUCAAUGUAAGAACCAAGGCUGUCAAGUGAAAGCAGCAGGAGAACAAAUAGAAAGAUAAACUGUGCUGUGUGCAGCUAACCUGAGAGACUCCUUGCCUUGGGAUACAUGGAGAUUACCUGUUUAAGAAGUUAAAAAAGGAACUAAAAAAAAUUAUUGGCUAGAAAUCCACAACAGCUGCUAUUAAACAAAAAGCCACAAUGUUUGACUGAGGAAGAUCCCCACUGAAGACUGGGAAACUACUCUGAAGAAACCUCAUAGCACAUGGACCCCCUCCUUACACAUUAGGUCUCCUCUCAGACAUGGUGCAGGAUUGCAUGGACCUUAGAUUUGACCUGAUCAGUUUUUUCCUGUUCUGGUUCACACCAUGCCUUUGUAGAGCAUCCCAGAACACUGGAUAUUUUAGUGAACAACAGGCUUUGCUAAAAAAUGAGUUCAGCAUCAGCUGUCAGAAUGACACCUUGGCUGUCUCAGUCAUCUAGAGUCUCUCAAUAGCUAAAGAGAGGAGACCUGAGGAACAUGAAGAAAGAGGGAAAAAAAAGGCAUCAGUGAGUCUUGCAGAAACCCACAUGAGAACAGAUCAAACUAUUUAGAUCCUGUUUAGGAGUUUGUCCUGUAGCAUGAAACACUGUGAUCCUGAGAACAGUGCCCAGCUAAAAGUGCCUGCUGGGACACUGAGGUGGGGGAUGCUGACCUGCCUUGCAGCCUUGUGUAGCCACAGCUUCCUUUAAGUCUCUGCCCCUGGACUCCAGGCAGUUUACAGUAAGAUCUCACACAUCCCGUCCCAGCCAGGUGUGAGAUCAAUUUACUGUCUGGAGCAAAGGUUAAGCGUCCUGAAGGGUGAGGCCCAAUGCAGAGCAGUGUCUUGGCCCAUCUAGGCUGAAGCUGUCGGCAGCCAUGGCUUUUGUGUCUGUAAUUUAAGCCUUAACAAACAGAAAGACCAAACUUUGUGAGAGAACUGUCAUCUUAUUUCACUUCUACCAAGUUUGGGACUGGAGUACUAAAGAGUACGGGAUCUCUCUUGAUAUUAAAGUCCUUUUGGCACGGGUUGAAAGAUAACUUUUGCAGGUAGAGGACAUUCAAGGCUUUAGAGGCCCCUGGUUUGUAAAUGGUUUACUUCUACAGCAGCUCCUUCCAGGGAACAAUGCAGACUAAUCUAUCACACAGCUCAGAUGGUGUGAGCAGCAGCUGGUCAGGCCCAGAGAAGGGCAGCUGAGGAGAACAUGAGUUUUUGCUCUGCCCUCACACCCAGCAUGUGCCUGAUGGUCUCUCUGUUUCCUUCCGUAAUAAAGAUCAUGGAUGACUUUGUCCAGUGCUGAGACAUGGCACAGGCUAUCUCCUGGUCUUCCAUCUACACAUCUUUCCACCUCCAGGGUGCUCAAAAACAUUGAAGAUGGUAUUUCCUGUGGGAGACACUGUGUAGCUGCUCUUAGAGAGGCUGAUGGCAUUAGUAGGAAGGAGAGGGCAAUCACUUAGAUUAAUGAGGCCCCAACACAUGGACUGAGAGGAAGGGUGGGCACAUUCGUGGGUUUUCAACACUAUAUUUAUUUUUAUAAUCCUCCUGUUUCCCACCUCCCCCUCCAUGGUGUCUUGGAAGUCAAGACUGACACCUGCCAGGAUAUGAGAAGUCCAGACAAAAUCAGAAUGAUCCUCUCCAAAGCUGGAGUGGAAGGGAACUUUUUUCAGCCCCCACAGAGAUCAAAGAGCCAGCUGGGUCUGGGGUUGCAGGGCUGGGCAAUUCCCAGGUGCAGGAGACUGGCAAGGUGUCAGUCAUGUCCCCCUGCACAUGCUCCUGCAGACGCUCAGCAUAUGACUGAGGGGCAGCUGGUGGCAGCUAAGCCUUGGCCCGCACACCCCCUUCCUUGAGAAGCAUGACGGAAGGGAUUAAGUGGCUUGUAAGGUGACACGGGGUUGAUCAGCUCUCAGUGGCGUGGUGGGAGGGAAGAUGCUGAAGUGGCUUUCCACCUCUGCUCCCAGUCUUCUCUCCAGUCUCUACCCAAGCCCAGAAGUCUGUUGUCCUGCUGGAGGAACAGCAGCUCCUAUUCCUGUCACCCACUUUCAGCCCUUACCUCUAUGCCCUUUUCUCUCUAGGGGUGGAGGAUUUGUCCCUCCAAUCUCUUCUUUAUGUCCUAAGCAGUGACAUUCCCAGGGGAGUGUCUCCAGGAGCUGGAGGGGCAGAGGAUGAAAGAGAGCAAGUAGAUGCUGUUCAAGCACAGAUGUGAUGACUAGAUGGGAUGGACUCUGCAAAUCUCUCUCUCCUCCUUGUCCUUGCAGACCUGUGGCAAGGCUUCAGCACUGCUCAGAAGAUGAGGAUGAUUUGCAGCACAAAACUGCUCCUGCAUUCAUCCAUGUGUCUGCUCCACCACAGGGACACAGGAGCCAGGCAUAUCCAACCAGCUCAGCUCCCACAGGCAGAUAAACCAACACACACCCCAGCACAGGGAGCUUCCCAGGGGCUUGAGGAUAGAUGUUGCCCAGGCAUUAGGGAGGAAAAUCUCUGAAUGUAGCCCUGUGCUGAAAGUGUGAGGUUCUCUUAUUUUGAUCACCUCUUACUCACCAUAUGUCAGUUCUACCAUGGUGAUUUUUCCCGCAAAAGGCACAUAGAAACAUUGUGGGACCCUAUCACCAUCAUCAGACACCAAAGAAAGAGUCUGCUGCAUGAAGAGCUCUUUCUCCAAGCAGAGGUGGCUCCAGCAUCUCCCUGCCAUCCCCUUGCUCUGCUCUCACCUUCUUCCUGCCCUCAGGCAGCCCCUGGGCAGGCAUUUCUGGAUGACUCAUGUGCUCCACGCUGGACCAGCUCUUGUAAUCCCCACUGCCACUGCCAGACAAUAGGAUGCCAGCACACGGGUCCUGCUGGCAGGGUCCUAGCAGCCACAGGGAGCAGGAUCAGCAGCUCCCGUGGUAUUCCUGUAUUGCCAACGUGCUGUCAGCUUCGUUAUUCCUCUGCAGCCUUCCCACCCUCCAGUGACACCCAGACUUUCUGUAACACAGAUUCCUCUCAUAGGGAGGCACCAGAGAGCAGGGAAUAAAUUUAUAAAAUUAGUUCAUGUGGUCAGGGCUGAAGCUGAACAGAUUUUUUCCAUCUGAUUAGUUCAUAUCCCUGCAGCACCUCUGGACCCCACUGAGGUCGGGCACUCUGCACUUAAUCAGUGGAUCUUCGGCAGAACUGCUGAGUUUCACAGGAAGAAGAAACACUUUUGAUUGUCCAGUCUUCUCUGCUGUCUCAGGGGUAGUUGCUGAGCUUUCCUUUCCUGUGGCAGGUGAUGUCAGAUCAGGUGUUGGAGCACAGACCGAGGCACGAGGAUACUGCUGGCAUGAAGAUUAUCUCUCAUGGUCCUACUGAGCUUUGUUUCCCUGCUGUAUCCCUCCAGUCUCCUUCCUGGUCCAUGUAUGUCAGGCAUGGCUGUGUCAGUAGUAGGGGUCAAAAAGCAGGGGAGAUACUUGGUGCUGUGCACAAGUGAUACCCAGACUGGCUGCAGGGCAGGAGACAAGGCUGUACACUUAAUCCUCGAAGCAUGACAGCAUGGCACUGCCCUGUAAGAGGGAUUCCCCUUCGUUGUGAGAGUGCUGGUGACAGCUCAAUCCAAGGGAGGUGAAAAGGCUCAUGACUGGCAUCGGCUGUGGAAAAAACCCCAUUCUUAAGUGGCAUCUCUUGUGGAAAACAUUGCAUCUCUAGAGUGGAAAAAAUCCAGGCCAGUUCCUCCGGAGAACAAAUCUCAGAGAGUACGGCUCUGUCUAAAUAUAAAUCUCUCUCCAUGAAGGUCCCACAGCAGUCUCAACGCUGUCCUGAGGCGAUGGAAGAGCCAGAGGCAGAGGGUGCAAUGCAGACCUGGCAACAUUAGAGGGAGCUUUGGGAAGGGGUCUGGGAAGAGUAGGAAACAAUAACUAGAUGUAAAUUACAUUUUGUGAGUUCGUUUAAAUAAGGGAUCCAGUUUAAUCCCAUCGAGUGUUUGCUUAGUGUACAGCUGAAAAUUAGCAUCAACAAUUUUAUGCACACUAAUAAAUUCAAGCCAUUACUCUC